ACGGAAGGCAGCAGUAGGGAAUCUUCCACAAUGGACGAAAGUCUGAUGGAGCAACGCCGCGUGAAUGAAGAAGGCCUUCGGGUCGUAAAAUUCUGUUGUCAGAGAAGAACGUGCGUGAGAGUAACUGUUCACGUAUUGACGGUAUCUGACCAGAAAGCCACGGCUAACUACGUGCCAGCAGCCGCGGUAAUACGUAGGUGGCAAGCGUUGUCCGGAUUUAUUGGGCGUAAAGGGAACGCAGGCGGUCUUUUAAGUCUGAUGUGAAAGCCUUCGGCUUAACCGAAGUAGUGCAUUGGAAACUGGAAGACUUGAGUGCAGAAGAGGAGAGUGGAACUCCAUGUGUAGCGGUGAAAUGCGUAGAUAUAUGGAAGAACACCAGUGGCGAAAGCGGCUCUCUGGUCUGUAACUGACGCUGAGGUUCGAAAGCGUGGGUAGCAAACAGGAUUAGAUACCCUGGUA
rnacentral:rRNA from 1 species